ACUCCAUUGACAGUUUGUCCAUUGACAAAAUGUAUCAACCUACAAUUCAACAAGACCGCUCCAUAGGGAUCCUAAAUUUCACUAAACUAUGAAUUGUUGUGAAUUAAUUUGGAAGAACAAAACAGUAGUUAAAAUAGCCAAUCUGGAAAAAUUCUGCAACCCACACAAAGUCACAAUCUGACCUUUUUUUGCUAUUCAAAAUUUUCAAAUUUCCAGUUCAUGUUAUUCAGAAGUGAAGUGCUACAUCCUGGUUAUCACACGCAGCAGCGGCACUUAGCAGCAAUUAGCUUGUAUGAACAUUUAAUGGAUUAAUCCACGCACCAUGACCACUUUCCCACAGCUGGACCCAGGUAAGAGGC